GGGGGUGAAUUGAUUCGACAGGGAGACAAAAAUGAAGGUUGCUUUCCGCACAAGAGUCAAGCGUUGUUCUCUUAAAAUAUAACUGCCAACUAUCAAAUGGCUACUGCUGUAGUCUAGUACUGCAGCCAUCAGAGCUGUGACUCCUGCUAACAGCCACUGGUGUCAUUAAGCAGGAUAAGCAAAUAAGAUAGUCCUGACUUGUUUGUCGAAAAUUAAGGGGCUUAGGCUACAAAAAAUUUUGUUUGAUUUUUAUUUUGUGGCUGAAAAACAAAUCAAACUAUUGAAAGUAGAAACCUUUAUCGAUGCUCUCUGGACGAGGGUUCGAUCCCUCCACCUCCACCA
rnacentral:tmRNA from 2 species